rnacentral:lncRNA from 1 species
CAAAGAACCUUAAUUAAGCUUCUACAGGUACCUUCAACAUAUGUGUUCUUAUUAAGAGAAUCUCAGAAAAAAAUUCUGCAAAAAAAAAAAAAAAACCCAAAUGUGGUUAGACUUCCUAUUUCCUGUUAUUGGGUCUUGUAAAAGCUAAGUUUGGCAAAAGACUUUGUGAUGUUACUUUUGCUUUUGUGGUAAACCAUAUAACCUCUGACUCAUCUAAGAAAAAAAGUGAGACAAAACCACUCUCUAUGAACUCAAAGAAAAAAGAAUGAUUUAUGCCUUCUAUCUUGGAGGGGAGAGGCUUUGACAGGCACUGCAUAUUGUAGUGACCUGGACAUUGCCCUGGUCCUGGAAGUUUGAAGGCAGGUCUUCCGAUGUAGGCCUCUCAGUUCAUGGCUCUUUGGGUCAAAUUAAACUCACUUGUCCUUUGUAACCCUGCCACUUCUGACCUUUUUUGAAUGGAACUUUCUAAGAAUAAGGGUCCCUCAAUAAAAAUUCCAUACCCGAAUAUGCUCACUCUCUCUCACCUGCCCCUCAUGACUUUCUCUUGCUCUCCCAUUUGAGGAGCCUGAGGUAGAGAAUGAAGAAACCAUCAUGAAGCUUGAUUAAAGGUAAAGUGUGAGUCUGUGUUUUCUUUGUUGUCCCUGGAAAUUCACAUGGGCAACCUUAAGUUAAGGUGCCCACGUGGAAGCAGUUGAGCUACACUCACCUGUUCCCUUGUAAUCCUACCCCUUGUCUCAUUUGAAUGGCUUCUUCCCAAUGAAAGGGUUCAACCUGUGCUCCUCUCUCUCUUUCCACAGACGCCAAGGUUGCAGGAGCCAUCACAGAACCCAAAGAAAAAGAUGUAUUACAACUUUACUACAUGAAGACUCUCUUACCCAGUGGAAGGUCCUUGGUUAGCAUCUGGAUGACCAUCUUAAGCAACAGCUUCCAUCUUAAGAAAAAGGUUUGCUUUCCCACCCAAUGGUAACUGACCAUUCUUUCAUU